rnacentral:tRNA from 1 species
GCUCCAGUAGUGUAGUGGCCCAGCACGCAACCCUGUCACGGUUGAAACCCGGGUUCAAAUCCCGGCUGGGGCG